ensembl:lncRNA
CCCGUCGUGACACCGAGUGCUGUGAUCCGGACUAGGGAGCAUUUAUUAGUUCUUUCACCCAAAGCUUGGUCAGAAGCCCUGAGCUGCGAUUGGCCGACGAGGAGACCGUCCCGGGUGGCGAAGACACGCGCUGAUUGGGCGACAGAAGCUACUUUCUCUUCCCAUCCCUGACAGUGCCCAGGCCUCCACCGACCCGGAGGGGGACCAGCUCUGUGCCCCUUUCCUGAGAAAGAAGGGUAGACAGGUUAAAACUGGAAGAGGCUGUCUGGGUGAUGAGAGCGGCUGAGGAUGGAGAAGGGCUCGCUGUGUCUGUCACUCUACAGCGAGAGUGGGAGCAGAAUUACUUUGAAUUCCGAGCUUGGGAACGGGAGAAUCACGAGCGUAACUCUGAACAGAUGAAAACUGACCAUCUUGGACAAUGAAACGAAGAAGCAGCCAGAGAGACGCCAGAAUUUAGCGCGUGCAACUGCAGCGCAAGCGCCGCCGGCAAGGCCCUCUCAAAGUCAUCUUGCAGAUAGCUGUCCUGGGUCCGCGUGGUGGCAACUCAUUAAAGUCACUGUGGAAGGUUUGCCCCUUCUUGAGACAGAGAAAAAAAAAAGCUUCACGAUGGGGUAUUCCAAUUCCCAGCAUAGAGCCAAGAGUCAAGACAAGUAGCCCCAAGAGGAAUGCGAGUCAGAGAGCCUUUCUUCUUUCUUCUUUUCUUUGCCAAACGAAAUCUAAUACUAUCUGGCUGCAAAAAUAUAUAUCACCGGCUCUGAGUCUGAAAGAUUAACAUUCGGAUACGUAGGAAAUGUAAUCUGCAUGGCUAAUUGAUUCUCAGCGUAUCAGUUUAAAGGAUAAAGAUCGAUAUCUGCAUAUGAUGGAUAUUGUAUUAAUAGGGACAUAAAUAAAGGCCGAAGAGUCGUUACCGAAACCUUUGAAGCUGCUUCCUGGCUCUGCCGCCCUUGUAGGGGCCACUCUGUCACCCCCACCUUCGGCAGAGCUGGAAGUACUGGCAGAGGGAGUGGAGUCAACAUAAGAACCAGGGAGGAUUUUUAAGCAGCUGAACUAUAGGGAGAGAAGGACACUUUUUCUCCAGGGCUAGUGGAGAUGGACUGUAAUGCGCACGGGGAGAUGGGGGUGAACGUACCACACCCGGACACCUAGAAACUCAGACACACUAACACUCAGGGGUGGGUUUCCGUGUAAACCUUAGUGUUAGGAAAAGGGAGCCAGCGCUUAUCCACCUCGGCCUCGGCUCCCAGAACACCUACCAAAGUCCUAGGAAAAGCCAGAAGUGGGUGAUUCUGGUGGGGGGUAGGGAUCCAGCUCGUGCCCUCUGGGAGGGUCGGAGGCAGCUCAAAAGGCUGGUGUCCUCCACAGGGAGCUGGCGAGUGCCCUCCGAGGCAGGCCACCUCUUCUGAAGAAAGAGAGGCUCAUCUAGAGCACAGGGUCUGGAGGGGAUUUAGAGGUGAGCCCCGGGAAUGGACCCUCCUAGUCAGCGGGGCGAAGAAAUGAAGGUGGAGUACGGGGAUCCCUACAAGAACCCCUCCACCCACUGAUUGCCAAUUAGCCUUGAGUGCUACUGGCCUGCUCCACAGCGGAGCUCGAGCUCACACUGCC